AAAAAAAAAAUUGUGGAAUCCAACUUUCAUGUUAAAGUACGAGGUGACUCCUAGGAUCUUGGAGGCCAAGGUUAAUUUAUGCACCUACAAUGGCAUGGGGAGAACACCUCGAUGUGGUCAUCUUAGGGUUGCUUUAUAUUGUUAGGGACAAGCAUAGAGCAACUUCACUUAAUUCUUUCCAUAAAAAAAUAUAAAAUAUAUAAAUAAAUCUAUCUUAUCCUAUAAGCUUAAGCUUUUAGGAUAAGUAGUAAUUUCAACAUGGUAUCAGAAAGUUCGAACCCUGUCUCCGCACUCUUUAACUUUAUUAUUAAAAAAUUUCACAUGUUGGGCUCGUCCAUUAAAAGAAAAAUCCAGCCCACAUAUGAGGGGAAGUAUAAGAAAAUAUAAAAUAUAUAAAUAAAUCUACCUCAUCCUAUAAGUUUAAACU
rnacentral:lncRNA from 1 species